rnacentral:rRNA from 1 species
UAAUACGUAGGGUGCGAGCGUUAAUCGGAAUUACUGGGCGUAAAGGGUGCGCAGGCGGCUUCGUAAGUCAGAUGUGAAAUCCCCGGGCUUAACCUGGGCAUGGCAUUUGAGACUGCGAGGCUAGAGUGUGUCAGAGGGGGGUAGAAUUCCACGUGUAGCAGUGAAAUGCGUAGAGAUGUGGAGGAACACCGAUGGCGAAGGCAGCCCCCUGGGAUAACACUGACGCUCAGGCACGAAAGCGUGGGGAGCAAACAGGAUUAGAUACCCUGGUAGUCCACGCCCUAAACGAUGUCGACUAGUUGUUGGGACAAAUAUGUCUUAGUAACGCAGCUAACGCGGGAAGUCGACCGCCUGGGGAGUACGGUCGCAAGAUUA